AGAGUUUGAUCAUGGCUCAGGAUGAACGCUAGCGGAAGGCCUAAUACAUGCAAGUCGAGCGGUAGAGUACUUCGGUACUUGAGAGCGGCGCACGGGUGAGUAACGCGUACAUGACCUACCUACGAGAAGGGAAUAGCCCUGGGAAACUGGGAUUAAAGCCCUAUGGUAUUAUUGAUAUAGAGGUUAAUAAUUAAAUCUGAGGAGCUCGUAGAUGGAUGUGCGUCUGAUUAGCUAGUUGGUGAGGUAGUGGCUCACCAAGGCGACGAUCAGUAGGGGGCGUGAGAGCGUGAUCCCCCACACGGGUACUAAGACACGGACCCGACUCCUACGGGAGGCAGCAGUAAGGAAUAUUGGACAAUGGAGGGAACUCUGAUCCAGCCAUUCCGCGUGCAGGAUGACUGCCCUAUGGGUUGUAAACUGCUUUUAGAUAGGAAGAAAAUGGUUAAUGCGUUAGCCACUGACGGUACUAUCAGAAUAAGGACCGGCUAACUCCGUGCCAGCAGCCGCGGUAAUACGGAGGGUCCAAGCGUUAUCCGGAAUCACUGGGUUUAAAGGGUGCGUAGGCGGAAGAUUAAGUCUAAGUUGAAAGUAUGUCGCUUAACGAUAUAAUUGGCAUGGAUACUGGUUUUCUUGAAUUGGGUUGAGGAUAGCGGAAUGUGACAUGUAGCGGUGAAAUGCAUAGAUAUGUCAUAGAACACCAAAUGCGAAGGCAGCUAUCUGGGCCUUGAUUGACGCUGAGGCACGAAAGCGUGGGGAUCGAACAGGAUUAGAUACCCUGGUAGUCCACGCCCUAAACGAUGCUAACUCGAUGUUUGGACCAGUAAGUUUGAGCAUCCAAGCGAAAGCGUUAAGUAGCCACCUGGAGAUC
rnacentral:rRNA from 1 species